rnacentral:lncRNA from 1 species
UUGUGGCGCCAGCGAUGAAAAAGAGAAUUAAAUAUGGGUGAUGCUGAGAAAGGCAAGAAGAUUUUUGUUCAGAAGUGUGCCCAGUGCCACACGGUGGAAAAGAGAGGCAAGCACAAGACUGGGCCUAAUCUCCAUGGUCUCUUUGGGCCAUUGGAUUCUCUUACACAGACGCCAAGAAGAACAAAGGCAUCACCUGGGGAGAGGAUACACUCACUGAUGGAGGAUUUGGAGAAUCCCAAGAAGUACAUCCCUGGAAGAAAACUGAUCUUUGCCAGCAUUAAGAAGGCAGACAGGGCAGACUUUAUAGCUUAUCUAAAAAAAAGCUACUAAUGAGUAAUGAUUGGCCACUGCCUUAUUUAUUACAAAACAAAUGUCUCAUGACUUUUUUAUGUGUUCCAUACUUUAAUAGAUCUCAUACACAGGAAUUCAGAUCAUGAAUGACUGACAGAAUAUUUUGUUGGGUACUCAUGAUUUAAAACUAAGACUGGCUUGUUGUUAAAUGAAUAUGUUGUUUUUGAAUUUUAAUAGUAAUUCCAAUUCAGUAAAUGCUAUCAUUGUUUACCCCUUCUAAAGAUAAGAUUAGACUUCCUUAGUAAUGUUCAACUUUUCACAAAGAUGGUGAGUGCUAUCUUAAAACUUAAUGGAGGCCAGGACUGAUUUUAUAUGUAGAUUUAUAUAACUCGUUAUGUGAAUAUAUUUAAAUACUGAGGAAAUUCCUUCAUUGUCUCAGAACCAAGCAAGAUUCACCUGUGUUUUGUGUUCAUUUGCCUCUUAAAGGUAAGGGUGGAAGAUAAAUAAGGGAGCAAUGUCUAGUUUAUAUUUUUGGCCUUAACUAUGCCAAUCUAAUUAGAAUUCCCUGUAUUUAAAAUGGUCUCUUUAACUUACUGAAAGGCAUUUUAGUGUGGUUUAUGUGUAAUGUCAAAGAUUAUUUAACACUUCUCACAUUUUAUAGAUGAUCUAUAAAGUCACAUGCUUUUAAAAUAGUAGCAAGUUAAACUUCACUCUUGAAUUCUUUACGAUCUAACUCAAACUAAGUUAUAAUUUAGAAUUGUCUUUAAAGGAGCCAUUCAGAAACAUAAAACUGAAACUGCUGUGUAUUUGUGAUUGAAAAUAGUGCUUUUGCCAACUUAAAAGGAUUAAAGUAGAGGAGAUAUACACAAAUUUUAACAUUAUGUGUGAUCAUAAGACUUAAGAUAAUUAAAAAGAAAACCAC